GGGUCAGUAGGUUGGUCGUGCCACCGGUACGUACUGGUCUCACUGAUUCCUCCUUCCUGAAGAACCGUAACGCCAUUAAUUUGGUGUUGCAGGGAAACAGGACUGUUACUUUGAAAAAAUUAGAGUGUUUAAAGCAAGCUAACGCUUGAAUACAUUAGCAUGGAAUAAUGAAAUAGGACGAUCGAUCCUAUUUUGUUGGUUUCUAGGAUUGACGUA
rnacentral:rRNA from 1 species